UACGUAGGGGGCGAGCGUUGUCCGAAGUUACUGGGCGUAAAGCGCGCGUAGGCGGUUCUCUAAGUCUGAGGUGAAAGGUUCGGCGCUCAACGUGAACAGUGCCUUGGAGACUGGGGGACUUGAGUGUGGGAGGGGGCAGUGGAAUUCCGGGUGUAGCGGUGAAAUGCGUAGAUAUCAGGAGGAACACCGGUGGCGAAGGCGGGUCUCUGGGAAACAACUGACGCUGAGGAACGAAAGCGUGGGUAGCAAACAGG
rnacentral:rRNA from 1 species